rnacentral:rRNA from 1 species
AACGAACGCUGGCGGCAGGCCUAACACAUGCAAGUCGAGCGAAGCCUUCGGGCUUAGCGGCGGACGGGUGAGUAACGCGUGGGAACGUGCCCUUUGGUACGGAAUAGCCUCGGGAAAAUGGGAGUAAUACCGUAUGUGGUCGAGAGACGAAAGAUUUAUCGCCAAAGGAUCGGCCUGCGUUGGAUUAGGUAGUUGGUGGGGUAAUGGCCUACCAAGCCGUCGAUCCAUAGCUGGUUUGAGAGGAUGAUCAGCCACACUGGGACUGAGACACGGCCCAGACUCCUACGGGAGGCAGCAGUGGGGAAUCUUAGACAAUGGGGGAAACCCUGAUCUAGCCAUGCCGCGUGAUCGAUGAAGGCCUUAGGGUUGUAAAGAUCUUUCAGUGGGGAAGGUAAUGACUGUACCCACAGAAGAAGCCCCGGCUAACUCCGUGCCAGCCGCCGCGGUAAUAC